rnacentral:rRNA from 1 species
CAGUAGCCGCGGUAAUACGAAGGGGGCUAGCGUUGCUCGGAAUGACUGGGCGUAAAGGGCGCGUAGGCGGCGGCCAAAGUCAGGCGUGAAAUUCCCGGGCUCAACCUGGGGGCUGCGUUUGAUACUUGGUUGCUUGAGUGGGGAAGAGGGUCGUGGAAUUCCCAGUGUAGAGGUGAAAUUCGUAGAUAUUGGGAAGAACACCGGUGGCGAAGGCGGCGACCUGGUCCUUUACUGACGCUGAGGCGCGAAAGCGUGGGGAGCAAACAGGAUUAGAUACCCCAGUAGUCCCUGUCUCUUAUAC